rnacentral:rRNA from 1 species
UACGUAGGGUGCGAGCGUUGUCCGGAAUUAUUGGGCGUAAAGAGCUUGUAGGCGGUUUGUCGCGUCUGCUGUGAAAAUCCGGGACUCAACCCCGGACCUGCAGUGGGUACGGGCAGACUAGAGUGUGGUAGGGGAGACUGGAAUUCCUGGUGUAGCGGUGAAAUGCGCAGAUAUCAGGAGGAACACCAAUGGCGAAGGCAGCUCGCUGGGACGGUACUGACGCUGAGACGCGAAAGCGUGGGGAGCAAACAGG